rnacentral:rRNA from 1 species
UAACGAAUCUUCCCCAAUGCACGAAAGUGUGAGGGAGCGACGCCGCGUGGAGGAUGAAGUCCUUCGGGAUGUAAACUCCUGUCAGGGGUUAGAAAGUUCUGAUCAACCCCAGAGGAAGUGGCGGCUAACUCUGUGCCAGCAGCCGCGGUAAGACAGAGGCCACAAGCGUUAGGCGGAAUCACUGGGCUUAAAGCGUGUGUAGGCGGACCGUUAAGUGCUUUGUGAAAUCCCCCGGCUCAACCGGGGAAUGGCUGGGCAUACUGGCGGUCUUGAGCUGCCUAGGGGUCACUGGAACAAACGGUGGAGCGGUGAAAUGCGUAGAUAUCGUUUGGAACGCCCAAGGUGAAAACAGGUGACUGGGGGCAAGCUGACGCUGAGACACGAAAGCCAGGGGAGCAAACG